rnacentral:rRNA from 1 species
UGAACGCUGGCGGCGUGCCUAAUACAUGCAAGUCGAGCGAACAGAUGAGGAGCUUGCUCCUCUGACGUUAGCGGCGGACGGGUGAGUAACACGAGGAUAACCUACCUAUAAGACUGGGAUAACUUCGGGAAACCGGAGCUAAUACCGGAUAAUAUAUUGAACCGCAUGGUUCAAUAGUGAAAGACGGAUUUGCUGUCACUUAUAGAUGGAUCCGCGCCGCAUUAGCUAGUUGGUAAGGUAACGGCUUACCAAGGCAACGAUGCGUAGCCGACCUGAGAGGGUGAUCGGCCACACUGGAACUGAGACACGGUCCAGACUCCUACGGUAGGCAGCAGUAGGGAAUCUUCCGCAAUGGGCGAAAGCCUGACGGAGCAACGCCGCGUGAGUGAUGAAGGUCUUCGGAUCGUAAAACUCUGUUAUUAGGGAAGAACAAAUGUGUAAGUAACUAUGCACGUCUUGACGGUACCUAAUCAGAAAGCCACGGCUAACUACGUG